rnacentral:lncRNA from 1 species
AUGGCCCUGCUCCGCGCCGGCGCCGCCCCAGCCGGAAAGGAAGCGCCGCGCCGGGGUCCGGGGCGGGCCCGGCGGCCGGGGGCGGGCCGGCUGCGGAGCGGGCGGGAGGCUGGCGGCGGCGGCGCGGGGCCGCUCCCGAGGCCCCUGCUCGGCCGCGGCUCGCCGGUGAGGGGACGCCUGGCGCGGGGGCCGGAGGGAGGCCUGCCCGCGCCGCCCUGCCCGCGCUCGCUGCUGCUCUGCGCCCUUCUCCUGCCCCCGUUCACUCGUAACAGCGCCCGGUCGCGCGGUUCGGGGCGCUCGGUGCUGCGGGCAGCGCGUUGUGCCGGCGCGCCGCCCCCGGCCGGAGCCUGCCCCUCGGCCUGCGGCGGGCCGGGCUCCGCGGCGGGCCCGGGCGGCGGUGUGCCGCCUCGCUCUAGGCUGGUGUUACGGCGCCGUGCCAAUCGCGGCAGGCGUAGGGGUUUGGUGUGAACUGCCUUCAGUCCAGCUCAGCUCUGCAAUCCUUGUGUCAGUUCAUGGAGCAAAGUUUAACUUCAGUCUGCAGUUUCACAUUUGGCCUUCCGAGCUCUAUACGUGCUGGAGAUAAAAUGAGACAGAACAAGCCAGAAAAAGAAAAAUUCUGCAACCCUGCUUAGAACAACCUCAUCCAAAAUUCCACUCUUAACAGAUUUCUUGCG